rnacentral:lncRNA from 1 species
CAUAAACCAUGCCUCUCCGUUCGUGUCUCAAUGUUCUCAGAAUCGUAAAGACAGAUAAAUUUUACGAAAAUCACGAACGAACCAACAGAUUGAACGUCUAAUUAGAACUACAUACGAGACGACAACUCGUAUUUACUUCAACCCUACUCAGGAAAAACUCGAAACGAAACAUUUAUCAUAUAAAUAAACCGCAUAAAGCGGCAAGGGAUUCAAAGCCACCAACGGCCAGUCCCCGAAAUACAAAUACGGUCAUCUUGACCUAAAACGAAAUCCAAAUUCAAAGGGCCAUAUUCGGCCGAAAACAAGGAUAACUAAUCCAUCCCUCAUAAUCCAAAGUCGAAGUCCCCGGACAACGAAGC